AUGAACGCUGGCGGCGUGCCUUAUACAUGCAAGUCGAGCGAACAGAUGAGGAGCUUGCUCCUCUGACGUUAGCGGCGGACGGGUGAGUAACACGUGGAUAACCUACCUAUAAGACUGGGAUAACUUCGGGAAACCGGAGCUAAUACCGGAUAAUAUAUUGAACCGCAUGGUUCAAUAGUGAAAGACGGUUUUGCUGUCACUUAUAGAUGGAUCCGCGCCGCAUUAGCUAGUUGGUAAGGUAACGGCUUACCAAGGCCACGAUGCGUAGCCGACCUGAGAGGGUGAUCGGCCACACUGGAACUGAGACACGGUCCAGACUCCUACGGGAGGCAGCAGUAGGGAAUCUUCCGCAAUGGGCGAAAGCCUGACGGAGCAACGCCGCGUGAGUGAUGAAGGUCUUCGGAUCGUAAAACUCUGUUAUUAGGGAAGAACAAAUGUGUAAGUAACUAUGCACGUCUUGACGGUACCUAAUCAGAAAGCCACGGCUAACUACGUG
rnacentral:rRNA from 1 species